CAGCCGCGGUAAAACAGAGGGUGCGAGCGUUAAUCGGAUUUACUGGGCGUAAAGCGUGCGUAGGCGGCUUCUUAAGUCGGAUGUGAAAUCCCUGAGCUUAACUUAGGAAUUGCAUUCGAUACUGGGAAGCUAGAGUAUGGGAGAGGAUGGUAGAAUUCCAGGUGUAGCGGUGAAAUGCGUAGAGAUCUGGAGGAAUACCGAUGGCGAAGGCAGCCAUCUGGCCUAAUACUGACGCUGAGGUACGAAAGCAUGGGGAGCAAACAGGAUUAGAUACCCCGGUAGUCCCUGUCUCUUAUACACU
rnacentral:rRNA from 1 species